rnacentral:rRNA from 1 species
UGGCGGACGGGUGAGAACUAGCGGCGGACGGGUGAGUAACACGUGGGCAACCUGCCUUACAGAGGGGGAUAGCCUUCCGAAAGGAAGAUUAAUACCGCAUAUUAUGAUUUUUCUGCAUGGGAAAGUCAUGAAAGGAGCAAUCCGCUGUAAGAUGGGCCCGCGGCGCAUUAGCUAGUUGGUGAGGUAAGGGCUCACCAAGGCGACGAUGCGUAGCCGACCUGAGAGGGUGAUCGGCCACAUUGGGACUGAGACACGGCCCAGACUCCUACGGGAGGCAGCAGUGGGGAAUAUUGCACAAUGGGGGAAACCCUGAUGCAGCAACGCCGCGUGAGUGAUGACGGCCUUCGGGUUGUAAAGCUCUGUCUUCAGGGACGAUAAUGACGGUACCUGAGGAGGAAGCCACGGCUAACUACGUGCCAGCAGCCGCGGUAAU